rnacentral:rRNA from 1 species
AUUGAACGCUGGCGGCAGGCCUAGCACAUGCAAGUCGAACGGCAGCACAGAAGAGCUUGCUCUUUGGGUGGCGAGUGGCGGACGGGUGAGUAAUGUCUGGGAAACUGCCCGAUGGAGGGGGAUAACUACUGGAAACGGUAGCUAAUACCGCAUAACGUCGCGAGACCAAAGUGGGGGACCUUCGGGCCUCACACCAUCGGAUGUGCCCAGAUGGGAUUAGCUAGUAGGUGGGGUAAUGGCUCACCUAGGCGACGAUCCCUAGCUGGUCUGAGAGGAGGACCGGCCACACUGGAACAGAGACACGGGCCAGACUCCUACGGGAGGCAGCAGUGGGGAAUAUUGCACAAUGGGCGCAAGCCUGAUGCAGCCAUGCCGCGUGUAUGAAGAAGGCCGUCGGGUUGUAAAGUACUUUCAGCGGGGAGGAAGGCGGUGAGGUUAAUAACCUUGCCGAUUGACGUUACCCGCAGAAGAAGCACCGGCUAACUCCGUGCCAGCCGCCGCUGUAA